CAACAGAGUAUUUACAUACACCAGUGUUUCAUAAAGAGAAGAGGAUUAUUUAUGCCUACAUAAUGAGCGGUUUUACCACUUUAAGAAGGAAGUUGGUAGAUUAACUGUUGAUCAGCUGUGAUUGUUCCACUUAACUUACAUUAUAUCACCACAAAGAGUUGAUUCUGCUUCACUUCUCCUAAAUGCUUUAGAUCAGCGAUUCCAACACUGUAUUUGGUGACAAAGCUGCUUGUUUUUAACAGAAACUGAGUAAACUGCGGCUCAGGACGCUCUGAAUGGAGUCCAGGAAGCCCGUAAUUUUACAUGUGUCCUUUGCACCACGCUUGUGACUCGGGUGGAAAUGGGUGUCAAAGGUGAGCGCAAAUCUGACAAAUACAGAAAUACAGACAGCAGGUCAAGGACGGCAGGUAGUUCAAGGUGAGAGCUGAUUUAUGGGUGCAUACACUGUGAUAAUUCCAUGGUAUUCUUUUAUAUGUUGAAGUGCACAAACUGCACACAUCAAAAGACACUGCUUCUGGUUUAUUAUCACAGCUGCAAAUGGCAGAAAACAUUAGUUGAAUGGCUUUAUUCAGUUAGAGCCCAACAAAGAUUAAACAAACUCAAAAAACACAUUGAAUUAAAUGUGAAACGCUGAAGUAGAAAAACUUACAUUUUCUUGUAAAACAUAUUCCAAUAAUGUGUUUUAUUUAUAACUUUAAAAAAUAGUUUUUACAGUGUGGAAGCACUGUAUUGCAUCUGUUUUAAAAAAGAUUGGUUUAAUAAAUAAACAAACACAUAAAUGCAAUUAUAUUUCAGUUUUGGUCACAUAAUUCGUCUGUCAAACAAAAAUGCUUUUUGGAAACUCAAUAAAAAUUAAAUAAAAGAAAUUAUCUUCUUAAACAACACACAAAUAUAUGUACGAAUAUAUAUAUAUAUAUAUAUAUAUAUAUAUAUAUAUAUAUAUAUAUAUAUAUAUAUAUAUAUAUAUAUAUAUAUAUAAUUCAGUGUCCAAGUGCUGCUGUUCUGUCUGUAUCUGUUUUUUUUUUGUUUGUUUAAUAAAUAAGCGUAUAAAUGCAAAUAAACAUUCUAUAUCGGUCACAUAAACACUGUUAAUUCUGUAAUAUUUGUAUAAGGAAACUAAUGUGCACAUUUUUGUGUGAGGCGCCAUUAAAAUGUGGAAAGAUUUUUGUGGAAAGGCCACAUACUUUAGGCUUUCAGACUGAAUGAAGUCAGGAAAACAAUCUGUGAGACUGGAUUCUCUCUCUCUCUCUUGCUCUCACUUUGUUUCUUUACAAACAGGGAGGGGCGGAGCCAGCUAAUGGUUACACUGAGUUAAACAAAUGAGCAGAGGGGGCGAGUCACAGAGGGGGUGGAGCCAGAGCCACAAACAGACACACCCACACAAGCAGUGAGUGUUCAGACUGACUCAGCGUUUAUGACUGGCUUAGUUCAGCACACACACACACACACACACACACACACACACGCAGAGAGAGUAAAUAGCCCAAAGGUGCAUCACAGCCUUCAUAGGUUACUGACCUGAAAUAUGCCUGACGGGAGACAAGGAAGUUUAGCGUGAUAGAAAUAGGGAAUUAAGUGCUGAGAACAGGAGGACGAGCGUUUGAAGAGGAUUAGAAGGCUUUGAGAAAACCUUCAGAACAAGAACAAAUAAACACUGAAUUCCCCGUCCACCACACUAAACCGAUGAACCACAACAUUACCAUUAAAAAAAUCAUACAUUUAAAUCUCAGUUGACUGAAUAUCUUUCAUAACACUGAAAUCAAAAAUCACAUUAUUUGACAUCAAAUGUGAGGCCAUAUUUUGUUCAAUUUAAGCAAUCAUAUGAAAACUUGGAAUAUAGAUGCACAAAAUACUAAUGUAAAUAUGUAAUUCCAAACUUUUGUAUGGAAGCUAUUAAAGCUAAAUUUUAUAUAUAGAUUUAUAAUUUAUCAAAUUUAUUUAAAAUAGAUUUUUAUUAGGGGUCGACAGAUGUGUGUUUUUCAGGGCCGAUGCCGAUACAGAUUAUUAGAGAUCAAGUAGACUGAUAACCGAUAUUUUAAACCAAUAUACUGUAUAUGUCUGGUGUAAAAAUGAAAAUUUAUGUCAAAAUUAAGAAUAACUAGGGCUCAGACAAAAAAAAAA
ensembl:lncRNA